UGAAAUAAUAGAAACUCCAUAAUUGAGAUGAAUGGACGGUCAAGAAAUCAUCAUACACUUCGGCAACUGCGUUUGUUUAAUUCAGUUUAUAUAUAUAUAUUAAAUCUGGCUUAAUAAUAAUUAAGAUUCACUUCGUUUCCCAUAUGGUCUUAUGCAUUAAUCAUAUCCUCAAGGACCUUAUGAAGCAGUACUGAUUAUUUUUGCAACAGCUCAUUUUGAGAAUCAUUGUUGCUGCUGCAAUCCACGCAAGUUUCCUUCUUUUUCCUGCUGUUGAGAAUCUACCGCUGGGCAGUGUAUGCAUCUACGCCGAUCUCUGAAUCUCCGUUGCACAGUAAAAAUCAAUACACACUCACUCGCCCAUGUAUAUCAUCAGUGGUUAAUCCCCUCAAGAUGCUAUUACCAAAAGCGAGAGGGCGCGCGUGACGGACUGUCCACAGCAACAACAGACUCUUAUCCAAGUUGCAAGCUUCAAGAUAUCAUGUGGUCACCUGUAGGGAGCAUUACUGUGUUGUUUACGGUAGAAAUAGCAUGUUUAAUUGCUUCCUAGAAGCGUUGUUAUCCCAUGUAUGUUACUGAUUAGGGCUUCCUUUUCAUUGUUUUCAUGGCCUGAUUCUUCAGGGGGGGGACUGGCGCCCUUCCUCUAAAGUUAGAGAUGCUAUGCCCAAAAGACAAGAAAGAUAAAAAUAAAAAUAAAGGCUUUGCACCUCCAUGCUUUA